AUUGAACGCUGGCGGCAUGCCUUACACAUGCAAGUCGAACGGCAGCACGGGUGCUUGCACCUGGUGGCGAGUGGCGAACGGGUGAGUAAUACAUCGGAACAUGUCCUGUAGUGGGGGUUAGCCCGGCGAAAGCCGGAUUAAUACCGCAUACGAUCUACGGAUGAAAGCGGGGGACCUUCGUGCCUCGCGCUAUAGGGUUGGCCGAUGGCUGAUUAGCUAGUUGGUGGGGUAAAGGCCUACCAAGGCGACGAUCAGUAGCUGGUCUGAGAGGACGACCAGCCACACUGGGACUGAGACACGGCCCAGACUCCUACGGGAGGCAGCAGUGGGGAAUUUUGGACAAUGGGCGAAAGCCUGAUCCAGCAAUGCCGCGUGUGUGAAGAAGGCCUUCGGGUUGUAAAGCACUUUUGUCCGGAAAGAAAUCCUUGGCCCUAAUACGGUCGGGGGAUGACGGUACCGGAAGAAUAAGCACCGGCUAACUACGUG
rnacentral:rRNA from 1 species